CGCGAAGAACCUUACCAGGUCUUGACAUCCUUUGACCACUCUAGAGAUAGAGCUUCCCCUUCGGGGGCAAAGUGACAGGUGGUGCAUGGUUGUCGUCAGCUCGUGUCGUGAGAUGUUGGGUUAAGUCCCGCAACGAGCGCAACCCUUAUUGUUAGUUGCCAUCAUUUAGUUGGGCACUCUAGCAAGACUGCCGGUGACAAACCGGAGGAAGGUGGGGAUGACGUCAAAUCAUCAUGCCCCUUAUGACCUGGGCUACACACGUGCUACAAUGGGAAGUACAACGAGUCGCGAAGUCGCGAGGCUAAGCUAAUCUCUUAAAGCUUCUCUCAGUUCGGAUUGUAGGCUGCAACUCGCCUACAUGAAGCCGGAAUCGCUAGUAAUCGCGGAUCAGCACGCCGCGGUGAAUACGUUCCCGGGUCUUGUACACACC
rnacentral:rRNA from 1 species